UACGUAGGGUGCGAGCGUUGUCCGGAAUUAUUGGGCGUAAAGAGCUCGUAGGCGGUGUGUCGCGUCGGCCGUGAAAACCUGGGGCUUAACUCUGGGCGUGCGGUCGAUACGGGCAUCACUAGAGUUCGGCAGGGGAGACUGGAAUUCCUGGUGUAGCGGUGAAAUGCGCAGAUAUCAGGAGGAACACCGGUGGCGAAGGCGGGUCUCUGGGCAACAACUGACGCUGAGGAGCGAAAGCGUGGGGAGCGAACAGG
rnacentral:rRNA from 1 species